rnacentral:rRNA from 1 species
UUAAGUCCCGCAACGAGCGCAACCCUUGUCAUUAGUUGCCAUCAUUGGUUGGGCACUCUAAUGAGACUGCCGGUGACAAACCGGAGGAAGGUGGGGAUGACGUCAAGUCCUCAUGGCCCUUAUGGGUAGGGCUUCACACGUCAUACAAUGGUCGGUACAGAGGGUUGCCAACCCGCGAGGGGGAGCUAAUCCCACAAAGCCGAUCGUAGUCCGGAUCGCAGUCUGCAACUCGACUGCGUGAAGUCGGAAUCGCUAGUAAUCGUGGAUCAGCAUGUCACGGUGAAUACGUUCCCGGGUCUU